rnacentral:rRNA from 1 species
GUGCCAGCAGCCGCGGUAAGACAGAGGGGGCAAGCGUUGCUCGGAAUUACUGGGCGUAAAGGGCGCGUAGGCGGAAUGGCAAGUCGGUCGUGAAAUCCUUCGGCUCAACCGAAGAACGUCGAUCGAAACUGCCGUUCUUGAGGAUUGCAGAGGAGACUGGAAUUCCCGGUGUAGCGGUGAAAUGUGUAGAGAUCGGGAGGAACACCGGUGGCGAAGGCGGGUCUCUGGGCAAUUCCUGACGCUGAGGCGCGAAAGCGUGGGGAGCAAACGGGAUUAGAUACCCUGGUAGUCC